AAGUCUGGUGGCUGGUUGACUGCCAGAGGGGGAAAGAGAGAUGUUUUGAACACAACUUGAACACAAAGCUGCACUUUAAAAUCAAAGCUUUUCAGACAUCCACAUUCGUUCUCUCUUUCUUAUCACCCGGCACAUCUCCAACGACAAGUGUUUGUGUUUGAAAGACAGGAUUUGCUUCCUGUCCUGACAUAAACCCUUUCAGAAUCUCACUUUGGCAGAAACAUUCCCUCGGCUGUUCGUGGAGGAGUCAUCGUAAACACACAUGUCCACGGGAGAGAGGAGUUUCCAUCCCAAGAUCUAAAACUGCUCCAGUCACGCUUCUGCCACAGAUGUUUAAUUGAGAAGCGGAUAAAUGACAGGCCAGGACACGCUGGGGAAACUCUAACCUCCGCUCCUUUGAUCCGCUAAUGGAGACAAACUGAAGUGAAGUGGGACGGUGUGACCACAGUGACAGGCUGCACACACACGUCGAUGAGAGACCGACAGUGGUCGUUUGGUACCUUGGUUCACAGACCAGGUGAAUUUGGACUUGGCCGGGUCACAGAGGAGACAGGGGCUGCUGGGAUUAGAGUCUCCCUCUGCAAAACACAUCCCGUCGACGUUGCACGUCCGCUCCUGGCCAACAGAAACACAGCAGAGCGGACAGAGAGGUCUGACCUGGGUCAUGGACGCUCAGAGCCAGUGGGACCGCACAUCGGUG